rnacentral:rRNA from 1 species
UUAUUGUAAUUUGAAGAUUUGGCAUUGGAGAAAGCUAACCCAAGUUACUUGGAAUAGUACGUCAUAGAGGGUGACAACCCCGUCUGGCUAACCGUUCUCCAUGUAUUGCCUUAUCAAAGAGUCGAGUUGUUUGGGAAUGCAGCUCAAAAGUGGGUGGUAAACUCCAUCUAAAGCUAAAUACUGGUGAGAGACCGAUAGCGAACAAGUACUGUGAAGGAAAGGUGAAAAGAACUUUGAAAAGAGAGUGAAAUAGUAUGUGAAAUUGUUGAUAGGGAAGGAAAUGAGUGGAGAGUGGUUUAGCGUUUCAGCCUUCUUUCGAGGGGGUGUACUACCAACGCCGAGUCAUUGUCAGCGAGACAGGGGUUAUAAACGGGUUGCCUUCUGGCUUCUCACCUAAACCCCUCCCACUGGCGAACAACGACCUUAAUUCAACCCAUUUUCACCCGUC